GACGAACGCUGGCGGCGUGCCUAACACAUGCAAGUCGAACGGACAGACCCUGCUUUUGCGGGGUGCUCGAGUGGCGCACGGGUGAGUAACACGUGAGUAUCAUGCCCUUGACUUUGGGAUAACUUCAGGAAACUGGGGCUAAUACCGGAUAGGAGCUCCUGCUGCAUGGUGGGGGUUGGAAAGUUUCGGCGGUUUUGGCUCGACUGGCGGCUUAUCCGCUAGUUGGUGGGGUAGUUGCUUACCAAGUGUUAGAAGGGUAGCCGGCAUGAGAGGUUGACCGGCCACAAGGGUACUGCGGGACGGAGCAGACUGCAACGGGAGGCAGUAGUGGAGAGUAUGGCACAGUGGGGGGAAGCGUGAUGCGAAGGCGCCGCGAGCGGGAUGACGGCCUACGGGUUGAAAACCGCUUUCGCCUGUGACGAAGCGGGAGUGACGGUAAUGAGUAAAGAAGCACCGGCUAACUACGUG
rnacentral:rRNA from 1 species